rnacentral:rRNA from 1 species
AACGAACGCUGGCGGCAUGCCUAACACAUGCAAGUCGCACGAGAUCUUCGGGUCUAGUGGCGCACGGGUGCGUAACGCGUGGGAAUCUGCCCUUUGGUUCGGAAUAACAGUUGGAAACGACUGCUAAUACCGGAUGAUGACGAAAGUCCAAAGAUUUAUCGCCAGAGGAUGAGCCCGCGUAGGAUUAGCUAGUUGGUGUGGUAAAGGCGCACCAAGGCGAUGAUCCUUAGCUGGUCUGAGAGGAUGAUCAGCCACACUGGGACUGAGACACGGCCCAGACUCCUACGGGAGGAAGCAGUGGGGAAUAUUGGACAAUGGGCGAAAGCCUGAUCCAGCAAUGCCGCGUGAGUGAUGAAGGCCUUAGGGUUGUAAAGCUCUUUUACCCGGGAUGAUAAUGACAGUACCGGGAGAAUAAGCUCCGGCUAACUCCGUGCCAGCCGCCGCCGUAA